UGUAAUUCCAGCAAUGAUCAAAAUAUACGAUGUUGCUGCAUAGGUACUUGUAGCUAGCAGGUUAACAUAGUGAUGUUUCUCAAUCACUGUCCACAGUCCUACCCCUAGGACAGCCCAUCCUGCAAA